rnacentral:rRNA from 1 species
CUCGAUGUCGGCUCAUCACAUCCUGGGGCUGGUGCAGGUCCCAAGGGUUCGGCUGUUCGCCGUUUAAAGAGGUACGUGUGCUGGGUUCAGAACGUCGUGAGACAGUUUGGUCCCUAUCUGCCGUGGGUGUUCGAAGCUUGAGAGGAUCUGUCCCUAGUACGAGAGGACCGGGAUGGACAUACCUCUGGUGGACCUGUCAUGACGCCAGUUGUGCAGCAGGGUAGCUAUGUAUGGAAUAGAUAACCGCUGAAAGCAUCUAAGCGGGAAACUAACCUCAAAACAAGGCUUCGCUGAGGAUCGUGGAAGACUACCACGUUGAUAGGCCAGGUGUGGAAGUGGGGCGACCCAUGAAGCUUACUGGUACUAAUAAUCCGAUCGGCUUGAUCGU